rnacentral:rRNA from 1 species
UAGGGGGCAAGCGUUAUCCGGAAUUAUUGGGUGUAAAGGGUGCGUAGACGGGAAAUUAAGUUAGUUGUGAAAUCCCCAGGCUCAACUUGGGAAUUGCAACUAAAACUGGUUUUCUUGAGUACUGGAGAGGAAAGUGGAAUUCCUAGUGUAGCGGUGAAAUGCGUAGAUAUUAGGAGGAACACCAGUGGCGAAGGCGACUUUCUGGACAGAAACUGACGUUGAGGCACGAAAGUGUGGGGAGCAAA